AUGGUCUCUCUCUCUCUUCUGAACAUGUUCCACCGGAAAACUGAACCAUCUGGAGAAGGCGGCGGCGCACGGCGGCCGCCACUGUCUUCUCCAGCGACCCUCAACCGAAACCCCCAAUCUGAUGAAGCAAGACCCCCAGAGUUCAAAUUUGGUGUCUAUUUUAGCAAAGGAGUAACAGAUCUUCCUAAAUCUACAAGGGUAAAUGAAACCCUAGGUGUUCGGAUUCAAACAAAAUUGGUAAAUCAAGCUAUGAGGAUGAUGCGGACGAUGAUGAUGAAGAUGAAUUUGCGACGAGAAUGA